rnacentral:rRNA from 1 species
CCUACGGGAGGCAGCAGUGAGGAAUAUUGGUCAAUGGCCGGGAGGCUGAACCAGCCAAGUCGCGUGAGGGAAGACGGCCCUACGGGUUGUAAACCUCUUUUGUCAGGGAGCAAGGUGCAGGUCGGGACCUGCUGUGAGAGUUACUGACGAAAAAGCAUCGGCUAACUCCGUGCCAGCAGCCGCGGUAAUACGGAGGAUGCGAGCGUUAUCCGGAUUUAUUGGGUUUAAAGGGUGCGUAGGCGGAGGCACAAGUCAGCGGUAAAAUCGCGGGGCUCAACCCCGGUCGGCCGUUGAAACUGUGGCCCUUGAGUGGGCGAAAGGUAGGCGGAAUGCGUGGUGUAGCGGUGAAAUGCAUAGAUAUCACGCAGAACUCCGAUCGCGAAGGCAGCCUACCGGCGCGCAACUGACGCUCAGGCACGAAAGCGUGGGUAUCGAACAGGAUUAGAUACCCGAGUAGUC